UACGAAGGGGGCUAGCGUUGCUCGGAAUCACUGGGCGUAAAGCGCACGUAGGCGGAUUGUUAAGUCAGGGGUGAAAUCCUGGAGCUCAACCUCGGAACUGCCUUCGAUACUGCGGGUCUCGAGUCCGGGAGAGGUGAGUGGAAUUCCUAGUGUAGAGGUGAAAUUCGUAGAUAUUAGGAAGAACACCAGUGGCGAAGGCGGCUCACUGGCCCGGUACUGACGCUGAGGCGCGAAAGCGUGGGGAGCAAACAGG
rnacentral:rRNA from 1 species